AUGGCCACCCUGAAAGAAGAUGCUGGCUUUGCUCAAAGUGAUAAAUUGAAAUCCUGGUAUUUCAGAAAACUUAUGGCCACUGCGUAUAGCCAGGGGACCUGGAGACAGAGCGAACUGCAGAUUUAUGACUAUGCCUUGGGAAGAUUAGCUGUCUUCUCUGUUGAAGGCUCAGGGUUAGACCCUAGCUUAUCACGUGGCCUUGGAAGCAUGAAUCAUGGCGGGGAGGACUAGAAGGUGAGCAGGGGGCAGACUUCUUUUCACCCUCCCUCCAGACUCUGCCAUCAUCUUUCAGAUGGUUCAAGGACCUGCUGUUGUGUGCUGGCUCAUUUCUUGGGUAUGGGGCCAUUUUUGAUAGGUAUGAAGAAGGAAGGUGGAAGAGAGGGCCCUUCAAGGUGACUAGGAGCAGGUGUCCCACUUACCCUCCUUGUUGCUAGAGUUGCAGUUGUAUUAUAUCAUUUAUGUGGGGCGAGGGGAGUGGUGGAGAGAGGAAGGAGCGGGGCUCCGAAUCAGACUGAGUGAAAUACCAGCUUUGCCCUAACCAGCUCUGAGGCCCUGGGCGCGUUCCCUGUGUUUCCCAGCUCUCAGAUUAAGCAUCUGUGAAAUGAAGGAAGUGGCGGUUCCUGUUCUACGGAGUUGUUGUGUGAAUCAGAAAUGAGGUAAUAAAUAUGAAAAUUGUCUGUGGAUGGAAGCUGGU
rnacentral:lncRNA from 12 species